rnacentral:misc_RNA from 1 species
GAUGAAGAACGUAGCGAAAUGCGAUAAGUAAUGCGAAUUGCAGAAUUCAGUGAGUCAUCGAAUCUUUGAACGCACAUUGCGCCCUGUGGUAUUCCGCAGGGCAUGCCUGUUCGAGCGUCAUUUCAACCCUCAAGCUCUGCUUGGUGUUGGGCCCCGCCCGCUCGCGGCCGGCCCUAAAGACAGUGGCGGCAGCGCCUGGCUCCAAGCGUAGUACAGCUCUCGCUCUGGGGCUAGGCGGUAGCCUGCCAGAACCCCCCUUCUAUGGUUGACCUCGGAUCAGGUAGGGAUACCCGCUGAACUUAAGCAUAUCAUAAGCGGAGGA